UACGUAGGGUGCAAGCGUUGUCCGGAAUUAUUGGGCGUAAAGAGCUCGUAGGCGGUCUGUCGCGUCGGCUGUGAAAUCCCGGAGCUCAACUCCGGGUCUGCAGUCGAUACGGGCAAACUGGAGUACUGCAGGGGAGACUGGAAUUCCUGGUGUAGCGGUGAAAUGCGCAGAUAUCGGGAAGAACACCCGUGGCGAAGGCGGCUCACUGGCCCGGUACUGACGCUGAGGUGCGAAAGCGUGGGGAGCAAACAGG
rnacentral:rRNA from 1 species